ensembl:lncRNA
GUUUUUCAUGCCCAAAAUAAGAACAAUUUCAGUUUAAAACACGAGUGAGGAGGACCCAGGAGAAAUCUUUUGCCCACCCUGGCAUGAACGAUGCUUGUGAUUAUGUUGCAUUAGUGGUCUGCUGUACACUGCAGUUAUACAGUGAUACAUGUUAUAACAUAUAUUUUAAUGUUUUGUUUGGAACCAAAUCCUCUCCGCAUUUAUGUUCAGUCUCUGCAUGUCCGUGUGUUUGUGUGCGCAUCUCUGUUUAGUUCGAGUCUACAUGUGUUCACAUUCAGUGACUUUUAUUCAUUUAUUUAUUUUGUCACAUCCAGGCAGUGCGAUCAUUCAGUCUUGGAGGGGAGGGCAGCUAAACAGAAGAGCUGGUGUUUAAAUGCAAUGGCAGAUAACAGUGUGUGUUGUGUCAGGAAAUGGGAUGUGUAAUUAGACAGAGAGAACACUUUGAUUAAAUGCUCUCAUCUCCUAAUCCACUUUGCCCUGAUUCGGCAGAUUAAGCUCUCUACUAUGUAAUUAACUUGUGGAAACACAACAUUUGUCGCAAAAACUUCCACACUCUGCUGGGAAGGUUGAUGUAUGUCUUGUAGUUUAUGCCAAUUAAGCAAAAGGCUUUGCUGCCUCGUUCUGUUCAACAAUUUGGCUUGUGCUUUAACCUCAUGCCAACCCAUGAUCAUUUAUGUGGGAUAAGGUUUUUUUAUAAUCAUUCAAAAUAAUUUCUUUUCUUUUCUUUUUUUUUUUUUUUUUACCAAGGAAGUGAGAAUCCUCAGAGGUCCAAGAAAACAACAGGAGAUAAGCUUCUGUGUGCUGUUUGCAUGAAUGUAGGAGAUGUGUUUCUGAAGCAACCCUUUGAGUUAUUGUAAGUUGAUCAUAUUCAUCAUCAACCUGAACAGAGAAAAAAGUCUUUAUUUCCUAUAGAUCACAUAAUGGACAUACAUGACUGGCAUAUAUGAUAUAUAUGCCAGGUUUUUUAUUAGCCAAACUAGAUCUUCCUAUCUUACAGUGUAUUUUCUUCUUUCUCAUGUUUUCUGUCUGAUUUUAGAAGAAGCUAAACGAGACCUGAAGCAUGGCUCUUCGAGUCACUUUCCCCCCCUCCCUCUCUCCUUUAGUCUGCAUGAAGGAUGUAGAGCCAUAGCUGCAUCUCCCAUUACCAGGACACUAUUAAAACAAUUAAAAUAACAACCUUCUGUCAGAACGUCUUCCCUCUCCCGUUUCUUUCUUGCUCUCCUCUGCACCCUCACAUUCCUCGACUGCCACAGUAAAUACCUUGCACUUUUAAUUAGCUCUGUGGCGUACCCAAUUCAAUAAUAAUUAAAGAGCAAGAGGUAGCCCCAAGGAAGAACUUAUUAAAGUGUUCCCCUAAAU